rnacentral:rRNA from 1 species
AUUGAACGCUGGCGGCAGGCCUAACACAUGCCAGUCGAGCGGAUGAGUGGAGCUUGCUCCAUGAUUCAGCUGCGGACGGGUGAGUAAUGCCUAGGAAUCUGCCUGGUAGUGGGGGACAACGUUUCGAAAGGAACGCUAAUACCGCAUACGUCCUACGGGAGAAAGUGGGGGAUCUUCGGACCUCACGCUAUCAGAUGAGCCUAGGUCGGAUUAGCUAGUUGGUGAGGUAAAGGCUCACCAAGGCGACGAUCCGUAACUGGUCUGAGAGGAUGAUCAGUCACACUGGAACUGAGACACGGUCCAGACUCCUACGGGAGGCAGCAGUGGGGAAUAUUGGACAAUGGGCGAAAGCCUGAUCCAGCCAUGCCGCGUGUGUGAAGAAGGUCUUCGGAUUGUAAAGCACUUUAAGUUGGGAGGAAGGGCAGUAAGUUAAUACCUUGCUGUUUUGACGGUACCAAAAGAAUAAGCACCGGCUAACUUCGUG